AAAGCAAGCUCAAGGAUAGCCAGGGCUGUUAUAUAGAGAAAUCCUGACAACUAUCAAAAAGAAAUUCAUCAUUUUCCUCCUUCCUGACUUCUCUACAACCCUUCCUUCCUAUUGCUCUCUCUCUCUCAAAUUCAUAACCUCUAAGUGUGUGUGUGUGUGUGUGUGUGUGUGUAAAUACAUGCUCCUAAAUAUAAAUAUAUCCUACUCAGCCUCUGCAUUGCUCGUGUGUAUGUGAUUUCAAUGGACAUGCAAACAUAAAAGAGAGAAACCAAUAGGACCUCAACCCUAUACACAGAACUAUAAGCUACUAAGAAAUUCUGAGAUUAGAAGACAUAGUCGUCCCCAAAUUGGUUAUCCAAAACCGUGUGAUCAGCCCUGAAGUCAUGUUCAUACAAGCAAAUACUGGGCCAUCUCUCCAGCCUCAUCCCCUUUUAUUUCCAAGACACAAUCUCACUCUAUACCCAGACUUGUCUCGAGGCCAGGUUAGCCUUGCAUUCACUGGAAUCCUCCUGCUUCAGCUUCCUGACUGACGGAAUUGUAUGCAUGAAUCAUCACAUGGGUUACCAGUGGUUUUUCAAAUUCAGGAUCUUGGCUUGAUUUUACCCACAGGAAAGGCUCAUAUAGAACCUGAGUAUAUAGUGUUUCCUUCUCGACCUGGAGGGCUCUGGUCACCUCUCCCCCAAGGGCUCUGAACUAAAGUAAAAAAUGUCACAGCCACCCAUAAAAAAUGUACUCCGUGGAUUCAACUGCUUAAUGGAAAAUUCCUAUAAAGAAGCCAUAGAAUUUGUCCUUGGUAAAGCUGGGACAGCUCUAAAAUAGACUAGAACAUGGCAAGGUCCUGUACUUGGAGCUUGAGCAAACCACUAGCACACUAACUUCAUUUAUUUAGUCCUUUGGCAUUAUUAGAUUUCCUUAAGUCAAAGCUAACAGUGCACAACUUCAGGAAAGCUAUAAACCUAACAGCCACAGCAGGAAGAAGACGGGUCAGCCUUCUACCAAGAUAACCAUCAAAUCUACAGCCAAUGGCUGAUUGUGACACCAAAAUUCUCAACGGGAACUCACUCAGCCUCACUGGGAGUGACAAUGGAGAUGGCCAAAUCAGGGAGAGAACCCAUCCUCUUUUGCAAUUUGACAAUAUUAAAUGUCUAGACAGUCUGAAACCAAAGCCAGCCUUGGGUAGGGCCUGGCUGUAGGGCCAUCAGUCAGGUCAGAAAUGGCACAUGGCAUAUGAGUUUAGUAUGUAAGAGCCAGCAUAGUUUAAGCAUACGAAACGAAACAAAAAAACCCAGCACUCACCCCUGUGGUUAAUUAUCAUUACUCUAGACACAUCCUAGCCAGUGUUCCAGUAGAAAGGGCAGGCAUUCAUUAUAUGAAUUGGCCUUUUGUAAAUCAGUGAAAGUUAACCAUUGUAGCUAAGAGUCAUGCGUGCCAGUGCGAGGGCUGGACCUGACAGGGUGCGUGCAGGUGAACAGUCCCUCGGGAGAAACCAUGUGGUGAUGUAAUACAGCUCCCCCUUCAGACACCACUGCUACUCGUUUUAGGUAGAUAUAGAGGUUAGAUAGUUUAGGUAUUAAGGAAGUUACAAUGUACAAAUAGUUAAGUUAAAACUCCCAGAGGCCAGCCUGAAUGAGUUGUGGGUAACGCUGCUUUAAUGUUGAAGCACUGACGGGGGUGGUGGAAGUCAGCACGAAGACAGGAGUGGCAUUUGAUGACAAAGAUGAACCAAGAGAUGUGUUCAAAACUCAGCCCUGACACGGUGAGUUAUUUUCAAUUCAAGGACUCCUACCCACUGGCUUUGUCUGUGCAUGUCAAGAAUUUCCCAGAUUGCAGCACAAAAUCACCUCUGUGCUCAUUUCUCCAGGUUUGGGUUCCCGGCUAGCGAGACAAGGACACUUUGGAAUAAAAAGCCUAGGCUAGAAAAGGGUUUGCGGAUUUUACUGUCACAACCUUAGCAAUGCUCACUUGAAAUGGCAGGAGCUGUAAGUCCAUUCUACAGGAGAAUAAGAAUUCCAGCAAAGUGAGGGUUGGGGAGGGAGCUCCAUUAGAAGGGGGGAAAAUGGUACCAAUCCACGAGUUAGCAUAAAACUUUCUUUCAUUUCAUUUCUUCGACGUUGGUUUUUCUAUUUUAUUUAUUCAACUGGGGACCCUCUCAUGCAGCCUGGAAUAGCCUCAAACUUAGAAGAUGCCCUUAAAACUCCUGUUCUCCCUGCCUGCACCUCCAGAGUGUGGGGAUCACUUGGUAGUGCUGGCACAUCCAAGUUUCCACCACUAUGCUAGGAUCAAAGACAAAGCAGCAAGCAUGCGAAGCAAGCAGUCUCCCACCUGUGCCACAUUUCCCAGACCUCACUAGGAUAAUAACUCAGGCAGGCUACGGUGCUCUGAGCCUGAAACAAGAGACGCUAGAGUGACAAGCUAAUCAUUUCAAGAUGAGAAACCAGGCUGGUAUAAACCAGAAAUAGACGUGUCAACUGGAGGACACAAGGACAGCAGAGACCCUCAGGGCUCUGGAGCUACAGGGAAGACGAUGUAGGUUCCAUUUUGAGAGAUCUGUGAGGUCAUGUCAGUAUCAGAAUUUGGGAUUAAAAUUUAGUAUAGUAAUAAGAUUAAAUUUUGUUCACAAAAGUUAACUGUAUAUAGCUGCCAAUAUAAAAUAUCGAACUUAAACUUAACUAAACGUAGGUUACCCUUUCUGUAACGUCUCUAAGAACGGCUCUUUUAAAAUCUGCAGAGAACUUUCAACAAUAGGACAUUAAACCCACGCAAUAAACUAAAGGCAGUGAGAAUCUCGCCUUCUCCAGCUAGGUUAGGUUCACUUUUUCCUAUCCUGGGUUGGAUCCACCUUACUGGUUUUGUCUUAACACUACUACGGAGCUAUGGCUUGCUGUGAGCUAUUAAGGCAAAAAUCAAAAACCAAACAAAAUAAAAAAAAAAAGAUUAAGAGCAAUUAAGACAAACAGGAAGGGAAGAAAGUAAUGAACAAUCAGCUCACUACAUAAGAAAAACUAGGUUAACCCACCAACCCAUCCCAUCUCUCUGGGAAUGGAGCCCAAGGGCUCCACACGCACCACACGUACGCCUGACCCAGUUCCACGGGCCUGCAAAACAGCUGCCAGUCGGAACAGCUCAGCCCAAGCAGGUGCCAGACUUUUGUCAGAAAUGCCAGGCUUUUCAGGUUCAUACAUUUUCUAUGCACUUUCAGAAGAGAAGAAAGGGGAAAGGGGGAGCAAGAAGAUAAGCUUGAAGAGAGGAACAGGAGAAGGAAGAAAAGUAACAGGGAAAGGGGGUAAAGGAGCAGAGAGAAGAACCCACUAUUUAACCAAUACUAAUCUGUUUAACUGUUCCAAUCAUCUGGUGAUCUUGAAAGUUCUGGGUAGACUGAGAAACUGGAACAUACAUUCAACAAUGUGUUUUAUAAAAAAGAAGAGGAAGGCCAGUGAUAUGCUUGGUAGGGUAAGGUAUGGUGCGGUGGAAGGGGGUGCCUCUGCUGGCCCAUGCUGAGGCAUCCCUUCCCCCUGAGGUACCAGCCACAUGAAGGGUAUAUAUAGAAUAGAGUUUAUUUAGGGCGUGGGGAGGGAAGAUGAGCAGAGUAGUAGAGACAGACACAGAGAGAGAGAGAGAGAGAGAGAGAGAGAGAGAGAGAGAGAGAGAGAGAGAGAUGAGGCUGGCUAUGAACGGAGGGGGUAGGGGGAAUGGGGAGAGACGAGACAGAGGGGGAAGAGAAUUAAAGAGCAAGAGAGUGAAGAGGGGGCAAGCAGCCCCUUUUAUAGUGAGUCAGGCAUACCUGGCUGUUGUCAGGUAACUGUGGACUGGAGCCUAGAAGAAAUGCUAACAUACAUGAAACAACACGUUGCGAUGAAUCACUAAAUGAUGCUUAAAAACAAUCCUGGGCACCUUUUGCAUUCAAAUCAAAUAGAUUGGGACUAGAAGUCCCCAGUGAGAGGGACUGUGCCUCCAGGGAACAUGGCCAUCUCCGAAGGAUCUAACUAUUGGGAGGAGGUGCUUCUGGCAACAACAAGGUAGAGGAAGGAUGCUCCCUAACACCCUGCGGUGCACAGUACUUCCAUUGCCCACCCUAAAAGAUCUGUCCCAUCUCAGCCGCCACACAGUGCUGACUCAGUGCUAGGUCAGCUCAUGAUUCCCAGAAGGUCCGGGAGUACAUCAGUUCGGUCACAUGCCUCCGUUCUGGGCCUGGCCGCAGACCAAUGGAGUCAAAGGCAAGCAAGUCUUUGUGCCCUGCAACCAGCCGGCAGCCAGCCCCUUUGGAGCUAGUGCUCAAAACCAUUCCGCAUGUUUCUACCAGUGAGGGGGAGAGAAAGAUCACCUUUGUUUUCUUCCUGCCCUUUCUUCACUAUUUUCCCUCCCCUCACCUCCCCACCACCCCGAUUCUUUUCCUGAGGUUUGGAGGCAAGGUCUUAUCUGAGACUGGCCUGGGACUCACUAGGUAACCAAGGAUGCCUUUGAACUCCUGAAGCUUUCCUGCCUUCAUCAUAUCCAACACAGCUAUUGCUCCCAAGGGUUGAAUGAAGACGCAGGGUCAAAGGGUUAAUGCCUUCCUUCCCAGGCCCUGACGGGGCUGCUUGCUGUGGCUGCACAGGCUCCUACUUUAUCCUUGGAAGAGGUGUGCUAGGAUUCUAAAGCUUUGGAUUGCAAAAGGCAGCAUGGCUGCGACUGCAUGUGUGACUCAGUGGAGGCCAUCCCUGGAGGUGUCAAGUUCUGUACAGAAAGGUACAGCCAGCCCCUCACACCAGUAAGACAACUGAGCCUGCCCAUGGAUUUUGACUAACCAGAACACUGACAUACACCAGAACUGAGACUCCAUUUCCACAGAAGAGGCCAAAUGGAUUUAAAAUCCAGAUUCCAGUUCUCACCUGAGGCAGAUCCAAGAUAAGCAGAAAAGAAACCGGAGUUCCUCUUCAAUCCCCUAGAAUCUCUCAUGUUUGCACAUAGGCUAAAUAUUUCAGAAAUAAUUUUGGACAGGGAUUCCAAAAUGAUAAGCCAUUAAUAUUGGUUUUCUAACUGACCCAGGAUGUUAAUUCUGAAAUAAAACCUUUAUUGCUUAA